UGGGGAGGGGCCAGAGUCUCCUGAGCAGAGUGACUCUGUGGGGUGCCGUUAGAAAAGGGGCUUUUUGGUUGUGAUGCUCAAGGUGUAACGGGAGGAGAGUGGAGGGCGGAUCCCCGCCGUGUGGGAGAGGCAAACAGAGGAGCCUACGAGACGUUGCCGACUGAGAUGGUAACUUACUUGUUUUUUUCCCCUUGUGCUGGGUUUAGUACCAAGGAAAAAGAAGUCAAGCCUCAGAGUCUACUGCCCUCAUGCGACGGAAAGUGAGUGAGAGCAGCGAGCCUGUGACCGUUGGUGAUGCCAGGCAAGAGGCCUCCAUCUGGGAGCCGAGCAAUCGCCAGUCUCGGUGAGAGGCUGCUCGUUUCUCUGGUCAGGAACGGUGUCUUCUCCACAGCUGAAGGUUGGAUCCAAGAGGAUGACUCCAGGUGGACACGGGUAGGUGUGCAUUCCCACAGGUGAGGUCUCGGGAGCCAUGGAGAAGUC